rnacentral:rRNA from 1 species
UACGAAGGGGGGCUAGCGUUGUUCGGAAUCACUGGACGUAAAGGGCGCGUAGGCGGCUUAUAAGUCGGGGGUGAAAGCCUGUGGCUCAACCACAGAAUUGCCUUCGAUACUGUAGAGCUUGAGACCGGAAGAGGUAAGUGGAACUGCGAGUGUAGAGGUGAAAUUCGUAGAUAUUCGGAAGAACACCAGUGGCGAAGGCGACACACUGGCCCGUUCUGACGCUGAGGCGCGAAAGCGUGGGGAGCAGACAGGG